GGGGGUGCAAUGGUUUCGACGGGGGUCACAUUCUUUGGGGCAGCCAUUCGUAGGAAGUCUACACUACGUUAAAAGAGGACACUUAAAUUAAACGCAGAAGACAAUUUUGCACUAGCUGCUUAGGCAGCUAAGUUUCCUAUAGCUAACCUGCAGGCUAUAACGAGACUCCGACACAGCAGGGAACGUCUGAUGGUAAGCUUUGCCCAUUGGUUGUACUUAUGAAGCUACUGAAGUCAUGAACCUGUCAUUAGGUGCUUGAUAGAGGGAAUGUUAAUAUAAUGAAUAUAAUGGUAGAGACCACAAUUUAUGGAUUUUCGGACAGGGGUUCAAUUCCCCUCACCUCCAUAU
rfam:Epulopiscium sp. SCG-B11WGA-EpuloA1 SCGB11WGA_36, whole genome shotgun sequence.